rnacentral:misc_RNA from 1 species
UCCUGGUUAACCCAGGCAGUCUCACUAGAGUUCCCACCAUUACGUGUUGGCAACUAGUGAUAAGGGUUGCGCUCGUUGCUGGACUUAACCAAACACCUCACGGCACGAGCUGACGACAGCCAUGCAGCACCUGUGCAGCGGCUCCGAAGAGAGGCAGCAUCUCUGCUGCUGUCCACUGCAUGUCAAGUCUGGGUAAGGUUCUUCGCGUUGCAUCGAAUUAAACCACAUGCUCCACUGCUUGUGCGGGUCCCCGUCAAUUCUUUUGAGUUUCACCCUUGCGAGCGUACUCCCCAGGCGGUAUACUUAUCGCGUUAGCUACGGCACAACUAGGGUUGAGUCCAGUUACACCAAGUAUACAUCGUUUACAGUAAGGACUAC